rnacentral:rRNA from 1 species
UACGGGGGGAGCAAACGUUGUUCGGAAUCACUGGGCGUAAAGGGCGCGUAGGCGGCCUUCUAAGUCGGACGUGAAAUCCCUCGGCUCAACCGAGGAACUGCGUCCGAUACUGAAAGGCUUGAAUCCGGGAGAGGGAUGUGGAAUUCCAGGUGUAGCGGUGAAAUGCGUAGAUAUCUGGAGGAACACCGGUGGCGAAGGCGGCAUCCUGGACCGGCAUUGACGCUGAGGCGCGAAAGCUAGGGGAGCAAACGGG